AAAUGCCUGGCGGCAGCCUACACAUGCAAGUCGAGCGGCAGCGGGAAAGUAGCUUGCUACUUUUGCCGGCGAGCGGCGGACGGGUGAGUAAUGCCUGGGAAAUUGCCCAGUCGAGGGGGAUAACAGUUGGAAACGACUGCUAAUACCGCAUACGCCCUACGGGGGAAAGCAGGGGACCUUCGGGCCUUGCGCGAUUGGAUAUGCCCAGGUGGGAUUAGCUAGUUGGUGAGGUAAUGGCUCACCAAGGCGACGAUCCCUAGCUGGUCUGAGAGGAUGAUCAGCCACACUGGAACUGAGACACGGUCCAGACUCCUACGGGAGGCAGCAGUGGGGAAUAUUGCACAAUGGGGGAAACCCUGAUGCAGCCAUGCCGCGUGUGUGAAGAAGGCCUUCGGGUUGUAAAGCACUUUCAGCGAGGAGGAAAGGUCAGUAGCUAAUAUCUGCUGGCUGUGACGUUACUCGCAGAAGAAGCACCGGCUAACUCCGUGCCAGCAGCCGCGGUAAU
rnacentral:rRNA from 1 species